GGAGGGGUGGCAGAGCGGCUUAAUGCACCAGUCUUGAAAACUGGCGUCUGAAAAGACUCGUGGGUUCGAAUCCCACCCCCUCCG
rnacentral:tRNA from 1 species